rnacentral:lncRNA from 1 species
GAAUACCAGUCAGGGUUGUUACAUUCCCUGGGGGCUCUGACCACCACAGGAUCCAUGCCUAUGUAAGCAAGGAAGGCAACCUCCUCUUGGGAGUCAUAUGCCAUGAGGCCCAGUAACUCCAUGCAUUCUAAAUGUGUCAGAGCAUGAAGACGUCAGAUCCAGCAGGGAGCUGUCCCUUGUCACUCCUUCUCAUUUCUCUGCUCUUCAUCCCUGUGGCUGCCUUGGAGGAAAACAUAAAACCUUCCAGACUGUUUCUAAUUGCAUAAUCCCAGGCCCCUGGACCUGCUGCCACUCUGUGUCCUGCCCCUGCCCAGGCCCUCUUCCUGGUUCAGGCACAGAAUGCCAACCUGACUCCCAGCAUGGAAACAAAUUAGUUUCUGAUGGAAAGGGAUUUGACUCAGAAGGAGAGAAAAUGCUUUGAGGACACUCCAGCAAAGGAAGCCUCUUUACCACCAGGUGGUCACCAAUAAUCUCUAAGAAGAUGCGAGGUACCUUAUAGUUGUAAACAAUUGCAGUAUCAGAUCUUUUCAAAAAGAACACAGCAGAGACAUCAGUUCAACGUUGGAGAAAUAGGAAAGAUUUCAUGCCAUAAAAUCAGGGAGGCUCUUGAAACAUCGCUGACGUCCUAAUCUCCUUUUUCAGGUAGGAAGGGGAGAGGAGGUGGGGGAGAGCAGACUGAGUGAGAGCUUAAGUUGAUCAGUAGUUACAAACACUUGAUACUGUGCUUAUACAUUCUGUUUUAGGUUUUUAAACAUCUAAGAAUACCAGGUAAAUUUAUCAGUACUUACCUGGCAAAGAAGAGAGAGGGAGAGUAUGUAUGUGCAUGGAGAGAAUAAACUCUGCAUAAGUUUACCAGCAUCGCAUGGCAAGCAGGAGGAUGCUGAUUUCACCAAUGAAAUAGCUAAUAAGAGCACAAAAGCAGACAUCUCAAAAGCAUUCCAGACUCCAAAGAAAAAGAGAAUGUUCAGAAGAGGCUUCCAACCUGCUGGAAUAAAUCCCUUUGAACCUAAGAGAGGAAGAGCUCAUAUAAGCCACACUAAAAGUCAGAAUUUAUUGUUUAUCAGCAUGUUUAAUAAAAUUUAUUUUGAAAAGUAUAUUAAGCAGUACAAUAAAAUAAUACCUAUCUGUAUUAAAAAAUCACACUAUAGAUUUAGCCUGUUUCAUACUGUUGCUGGUCCUGCCAAUAUACACUUUUGUUCACUGCUUUUAGAUCCUUGAGAUGACCUUUAUCAUCUAAAAUAAUAUGCUUACGCUUUUAUUUAUUGUUUCAACAGCUAUAGAUGGCGUCUCUUAACACUCUGCCUUAUAAAUGGGAAUUUAACCUUUGUAAUUCUUAUUUUUAUAUCUUUUUUCCCCUCUUGUUAAAGUCAACCUCAUACACAAAAAGGCAGAGGAGGAGGUCAUCAGGCAAAGAAGUCAGGAACAAAGGUUUAAAGAAAAUACGACUUUUUAGAACAGGUGUGUUUUCGGGGCGCCUGGGUGGCACAGUCGGUUAAGCGUCCGACUUCAGCCAGGUCAGGAUCUCGCGGUCCGGGAGUUCGAGCCCCGCGUCAGGCUCUGGGCUGAUGGCUCAGAGCCUGGAGCCUGUUUCUGAUUCUGUGUCUCCCUCUCUCUCUGUCCCUCCCCCGUUCAUGCUCUGUCUCUCUCUGUCCCAAAAAUAAAUAAACGUUGGAAAAAAAAAUGUUUAGAACA